GAUGAACGCUAGCUACAGGCUUAACACAUGCAAGUCGAGGGGCAGCGGGAUUGAAGCUUGCUUCAAUUGCCGGCGACCGGCGCACGGGUGAGUAACGCGUAUCCAACCUUCCGCUUACUCGGGAAUAGCCUUCCGAAAGGGAGAUUAAUACCGCAUAACGUUGAAAGAUGGCAUCAUCAUUCAACCAAAGGAGCAAUCCGCUAUGAGAUGGACCCGCGGCGCAUUAGCUAGUUGGUGGGGUAACGGCUACCAAGGCGACGAUGCGUAGCCGACCUGAGAGGGUGAUCGGCCACAUUGGGACUGAGACACGGCCCAG
rnacentral:rRNA from 1 species